CGUGAAAAAGUUAAAUAAUUAUUGGCUAAGACAGCCAUACUCGUUAUUUUCUGUUUACGAUGAGGCCGCCGACUGCGUCCGAACCGCGCUACAAUUGAUAACCUGGAGUGUUUACAGACAGAGUGUAUUAUAAUAAAUAUCGUGAUCGGUCUAAAUCUUAAUUUGAGCAAAGGGGCUAGCAGUGGGGGGCACUUCCUUCCUACCACAGGGGGCCGCCACGGGAAUUCUUCGAAGAAUGCCACAGUCGUGGUACAGUUUACUUCCAAGACGUGGAACACUGUAUUUACCGACCAGAUGGGCAAUGUACCAUUGUUGCAAUUGUCUGUUUCCACACAGCCAGGAUCUGGACAAAUGCAAUGGUGGAAAUAAUUUACCUACAGUGGUUUACUUCAACACCGGCUAAAGUCUUCAUUAAAAGUACAAUUUUAAAUGUCAAUCCUCAAAAUUUUAAAAAAUUGACAAAAAAGAUAAUUUUGUGUUGUCAUAAGGACUGAACUUUGGGUUGCUUGCUUGCAGUGGUCCUCCCGAUGCUGAAAAUGCCCACCGCUAAUAAAACCGAAUUGGUAAAAUUCAGGGCACGCCAUCGGCUGUGGCGGCGGCAGCAAAAAACCGUAUCCCAACUCUAGUAAAAUAAUGAAGAGUGAAGUGGUGAAACAAUAGAAAUUCCGAAAUAGUCCAUCAGAACAUGUAACAAAUACAAUAAGGCAGUCUCAGGGACCGCGGCGCCCCCGGUGGCGCCGGCUGCAUUCCCCACGUGCCCCGAUAAAUCACAGAGCCCCCGCUAGGCGUCUCACGAUCGCACAAACAAUGAAACAAUGGGGGAAAUAAAACACGGCGACAUCACUUUGUUUAUUCCGUAUAAUUGUUGGCGUGCAUGUCCUGCUGCUGCCUGCCUGCCUGCCCGCUCCUGCAGAUUGAUGCGCGAGGGUCUUAUUUUACGCUAAGGGUUUUACAGGAAUUUUCAGCAUUUCAUGAAUUUACAAAAAAUUUCUCUCAAAUUCUUCCCGCCCGCCGCUCGGACUCGUAAAUAUAAAUCAUUUCGAUUUUAUGAAGGCUCGGUAUUCAAAACCUGGGGGAAGUCGCGCAAUGAGCCACACAUCAAUCUAAAAAAGUCGAUUUUGAAUAGGAAGCAACUAUUUUAUUUUUUCCCUGUGAUUUUUUUUUAGAAUUAUUCUAAAAUUCCUUAUUGCAAAUGUUAAUUAAUUAAAAAUUGUAAUAUUAACACAAUUUUUUGUUGGUAACAUUUUAAGCCUUCGUUUUAAUAUCUGAAUCCUAGAAUAUAAACACUAUUUUAAAACACGCUUUCCAUAACAACGUGUUUUAAAUUUAAAUGUUCCAACAAAAAACAUUUUAAAUAACAUUCAUGCGAAAACGCUUAAAAUUUUCAGGUGUCUAAGUAUGCAACUCGCAUACGCUCGUUGCAUAACGACAGCCCUCGAACUUUAAGCUUGUGCUUUCGCACUCGUAUUAUUAAUAACUAUUGAAAUGUUAAAAUAUGAAUUAAUCCAAAUUUUAUGUUUUAAAGUAAUUGCAAAACAAGUGAUGCAAUGAAGAAGUGUUUCUUUCAUAUCAUUUUAUUUAAAAUUUUUAUGUAAUAACUAAUAAUUAAUAAUAAUAAUAAUGUACAA